UAUGACCACAUCACAUUGAAACACCAGCUCCUGUACGAUCACUGAAGUAAAGCAAUGUCGAACCUGCUCUGUACCUAGAUGGGUGACCGCAUGGUGAUACCAAGUGCUGUAAG